UACGUAGGUGGCAAGCGUUGUCCGGAAUCACUGGGCGUAAAGGGCGCGUAGGCGGCUCAGUAAGCGUGCGGUGAAAGCCCGGGGCUCAACCCCGGGUCGGCCGUGCGAACUGCAGAGCUGGAGCACUGUAGAGGCAGGUGGAAUUCCGGGUGUAGCGGUGGAAUGCGUAGAGAUCCGGAAGAACACCGGUGGCGAAGGCGGCCUGCUGGGCAGUGGCUGACGGCUGAGGCGCGACAGCGUGGGGAGCAAACAGG
rnacentral:rRNA from 1 species